rnacentral:tRNA from 1 species
GGGGACGUCGCCAAGUGGGAAGGCCCACGACUGAAGCUCGUGUAUCGGGGGUUCGAUUCCCCCCGUUCCCA